rnacentral:rRNA from 1 species
CUCCUACGGGAGGCAGCAGUGGGGAAUAUUGGACAAUGGGGGCAACCCUGAUCCAGCGAUGCCGCGUGUGUGAUGAAGGCCUUAGGGUUGUAAAACUCUUUCAGAUGGGAUGAUAAUGACAGUACCAUCAGAAGAAGCUCCGGCUAACUCCGUGCCAGCAGCCGCGGUAAUAA